rnacentral:rRNA from 1 species
AUUAGAUACCCUGGUAGUCCACGCAGUAAACGAUGGAUGCUAGCUGUCCGGGGCGAAUGAGUUCUGGGUGGCACAGCGAAAGCGUUAAGCAUCCCACCUGGGGAGUACGCCGGCAACGGUGAAACUCAAAGGAAUUGACGGGGGCCCGCACAAGCGGAGGAACAUGUGGUUUAAUUCGAUGAUACGCGAGGAACCUUACCCGGGCUCAAACGGCACAGUGAUACUUUUGAAAGGAGGUAGCUCUACGGAGACUGUGCCGAGGUGCUGCAUGGUUGUCGUCAGCUCGUGCCGUGAGGUGUCGGCUUAAGUGCCAUAACGAGCGCAACCCCUAUUGUCAGUUGCCAGCAGGUAAAGCUGGGGACUCUGACGGGACUGCCGGUGUAAGCCGAGAGGAAGGCGGGGAUGACGUCAAAUCAGCACGGCCCUUACGUCCGGGGCGACACACGUGUUACAAUGGCAGGCACAGCGGGAAGCCACCCGGCGACGGGGAGCGGAACCCGAAAGCCUGUCUCAGUUCGGAUCGGAGUCUGCAACUCGACUCCGUGAAGCUGGAUUCGCUAGUAAUCGCGCAUCAGCCAUGGCGCGGUGAAUACGUUCCCGGGCCUUGUACACACCGCCCGUCAAGCCAUGGAAGCCGGGAGCGCCUGAAGCGCGUGACCGCGAGGAGCGCGCUAAGGUGAUACCGGUGACUGGGGCUAAGUCGUAACAAGGUACCAAGGGCGAAUU